rnacentral:rRNA from 1 species
UACGAAGGGGGCUAGCGUUGCUCGGAAUCACUGGGCGUAAAGGGUGCGUAGGCGGCGCGGAUAGUCGGCGGUGAAAGCCCGGAGCUCAACUCCGGGUCGGCCGUCGAUACUUCCGGGCUUGAGCACUGUAGAGGCAGAUGGAAUUCCGGGUGUAGCGGUGGAAUGCGUAGAGAUCCGGAAGAACACCGGUGGCGAAGGCGGUCUGCUGGGCAGUUGCUGACGCUGAUGCGCGACAGCGUGGGGAGCAAACAGG